rnacentral:rRNA from 1 species
GACGAACGCUGGCGGCGUGCUUAACACAUGCAAGUCGAACGGAAAGGCCCUGCUUUUGUGGGGUGCUCGAGUGGCGAACGGGUGAGUAACACGUGAGUAACCUGCCCUUGACUUUGGGAUAACUUCAGGAAACUGGGGCUAAUACCGGAUAGGAGCUCCUGCUGCAUGGUGGGGGUUGGAAAGUUUCGGCGGUUGGGGAUGGACUCGCGGCUUAUCAGCUUGUUGGUGGGGUAGUGGCUUACCAAGGCUUUGACGGGUAGCCGGCCUGAGAGGGUGACCGGCCACAUUGGGACUGAGAUACGGCCCAGACUCCUACGGGAGGCAGCAGUGGGGAAUAUUGCACAAUGGGCGGAAGCCUGAUGCAGCAACGCCGCGUGCGGGAUGACGGCCUUCGGGUUGUAAACCGCUUUCGCCUGUGACGAAGCGUGAGUGACGGUAAUGGGUAAAGAAGCACCGGCUAACUACGUGCCAGCAGCCGCGGUGAUACGUAGGGUGCGAGCGUUGUCCGGAUUUAUUGGGCGUAAAGGGCUCGUAGGUGGUUGAUCGCGUCGGAAGUGUAAUCUUGGGGCUUAACCCUGAGCGUGCUUUCGAUACGGGUUGACUUGAGGAAGGUAGGGGAGAAUGGAAUUCCUGGUGGAGCGGUGGAAUGCGCAGAUAUCAGGAGGAACACCAGUGGCGAAGGCGGUUCUCUGGGCCUUUCCUGACGCUGAGGAGCGAAAGCGUGGGGAGCGAACAGGCUUAGAUACCCUGGUAGUCCACGCUGUAAACGGUGGGUACUAGGUGUGGGGUCCAUUCCACGGGUUCCGUGCCGUAGCUAACGCUUUAAGUACCCCGCCUGGGGAGUACGGCCGCAAGGCUAAAACUCAAAGGAAUUGACGGGGCCCCGCACAAGCGGCGGAGCAUGCGGAUUAAUUCGAUGCAACGCGUAGAACCUUACCUGGGUUUGACAUGGAUCGGGAGUGCUCAGAGAUGGGUGUGCCUCUUUUGGGGUCGGUUCACAGGUGGUGCAUGGCUGUCGUCAGCUCGUGUCGUGAGAUGUUGGGUUAAGUCCCGCAACGAGCGCAACCCUUGUUCACUGUUGCCAGCACGUUAUGGUGGGGACUCAGUGGAGACCGCCGGGGUCAACUCGGAGGAAGGUGGGGAUGACGUCAAGUCAUCAUGCCCCUCAUGUCCAGGGCUUCACGCAUGCUACAAUGGCUGGUACAGAGAGUGGCGAGCCUGUGAGGGUGAGCGAAUCUCGGAAAGCCGGUCUCAGUUCGGAUUGGGGUCUGCAACUCGACCUCAUGAAGUCGGAGUCGCUAGUGAUCGCAGAUCAGCAACGCUGCGGUGAAUACGUUCCCGGGGCU